CUUUCAAAACACCCAAAAGACACAUUGUGCCACAGAUGAGAUACACACAGGAAUCAACAAAACAAUCUGCUGACAAAUGUUACCGUACAAAAACUGAAAAUUAGGCAUGCGAUGGUUGGAGUGCCUCUAUUGAUCGCUGAUAACAAGGGGACACUCAGGUCAGAAGGAUUGAUUUGCUUUUACUUGAACAAACAGUGAACUGUGGUAGAGGUUAUCACAGCAUUUUGGUUUGAACUACUCAUAGAUUCGGUAGUGUUUGAUUUAAAUCAUUGACUUGGCUUUGGUUAAAAUGUAAAAAAUGGACCCUUCUUUUUUACAGCCGUAUCCCUUCAUUCGUUCCUAUGAAAACUUCACAAACUAGCCAGAGCUCCAGUACACGCUACAGUUAUGUGUCUUGGUGAUACAACUAUUCAACAGAGCAUUCAAAGGCACCAGCAGACAGGUGUCAACGUGUCUGAAAAACAACAGGUCUGGCAGAAUGAGGGGGGAUCACACACUCGCCUCUGACAGGGAAAGCUUUGGUGACCAGUUGUGAGAAAUUCUCGCGCCCACUUUGCGAAGGUGUGAAAGGCUUCUUACAAAAGGAGACUGUGUCAAUCCACUCACGCCAAGUUGAUAAAAGGAAGAGGGAGAUAAAGAAACAGUCACGCAGUCCGGAAAUCAACUUAAACAAAGACGUUAAGCGAUGGUGAAGACGGGCAGGCUGACAGGAAGGAUCAUCCACAGAGACAUGACGGCCACCUGGAGAUCUCCACUGCAAGCAUCAACACACACCAGCGUCACCACAGACCUGGACCACAGACCUGGACUCUGAGCAGGCCAUUAAAUCACCCGUUUGUCACGGUGACAUGAUUGCAAUUUACAGUUUACUCUGGUCAACAAGAACUACACUAAUUCUGUCGUGCACUUUUAGGACAUCACAACAAUUACUGUCCCAGCUUCUCAAACGUGAGGAUUUGCUGCAUUUUCUGUUUUAUAUCACUGUAAAUGAAAUGUCUUUGGGUUUUGGAUCGUUGGCUGGACAUUAGAAGACAUUACUUUGGGCAUUUUUUGUUAUAUUUUGACAUUUUAUAAACUGAUUGAUUGAUGAAAACUAAAAAAAAAAAAAAUGAAUCCAGAGCUUAAUCAACCAUGAAAAUAAUAGUCAGUUGCAGGCCUGCAAUAGGUUUAAACCAAUAGCUGUAGAACAGGAGUAUUGAUACAGUUACACCAUAUGAGAAAAGAUCAAUACACUCACAAUGGGGUGCAAGAGACGUUUACCAAUAUUGUAUUGAUUGAUCUUUACAGAUAAACCUGUGGACGACCAGAUUUACCUGCCAGGGGUGCAGGGGCAGAAAGGAGCAGCCGGGCCCCUCCUAACCCCCUGUUCCUGCCCCCCUCUCUACCAUGUGAGAGGCAGGAUCUUACCUGGCCCCAGGUCUGCUGUGAAGCCGUUAAAUUAAACACAUCAGUUUAGGAAUAUGUGGCGUGUAAAGACAGAACUGAGACAAUGAAGGUCUUAAAAAAGAGAUUUUGACACAUGAACAGGGCCUCGAGAUAAAGGAGGGCUGACGGUUUGGGCUGCAACUACUGAUUAUUUUCAUUAUCUAGUAAUCUGACGGUUAUUUUCCUGAUCAAUCGAUUCAUUGUUUAGUCUAUAAAAUGUCAAAAAAGUGAAAAAUGCCUGUCUCGGUUUGGCUUUUACAAUCUAAAGUCCAAAAACCUCAAAAUUAUUGAUUUACAAAUCACAUAAGACAAAGAAAAACAGCGAGUCCUCAAAACUGACGAGCUGAAACUAGGGACCGUCUGGGAUUUUUGCUUGAAAAAUGACUUUUGAACAAUUGAUCGAUUAUCAAAACACAACAGAUUUAUUUUCGAUCAACUAAUCAAUUCAUUGUUCCAGCUCUACCGACGGUACAUUAGCUUUAUGUUGCAUAUUCUCAAACAUUUUGUAAAUUCUUUAAACUUCGACUUUCAAGCCAGCAUGGACGAGAAGUCUUUACAUCUACAAUCCCACGACUGCUGGGCGAUUUCCAGCUGCUGAUGAAGAUCAUGGGAUAUGAUUGAAAGCUCCAGAACAGCUACAACGUGGACCUUGUGGUGAGAUUUUUUUCUUAAGGACAAGAAUGAACUUUGAACGUCAGUUUUUUUAAUAAAAUAAGCACAAACCAGUUGACACACUGUAAGCCAGGAACUUUUGGGGCCCCGGGAGUUUUGGGGCCCCCGGGACAGUUGCCUGCUUUACCUUGUUAGUCACCCAGCCUUGGUGUUCCUUCUGUGUGUUAACUAUACAUGUAAUGUGUAGUGUAUAUAUGUAAUUAGUACAUUAAAUGUGAAAAUGAUAUUACCAAAAACUGAAGUCAUGUCUCAAAAUUGCAUAUUUUAUCUGGCCAACAGUAAAAAGAAACCCAAAAAUAUUAUAAUUAAUAAUAUAAUUAUAAUUUAAAAUAUGAAAUUCUCAUAAUUGAGAAGCUGCCUGAUGUUUGGUAUUUGUACUUUAUAAAUGACUUGAUUGAUUUGAUUAUCAAACUUGUCUCGUCAAAUCUUGCUUCGACUAACAAUUAUUUUAUUAUCAGCUCACGUGCUGAUUAUUUUCUUGUGUAGUCGAUUGAUUGCUUGGUCAAUAAAAUGGUGGAAAAGUC